GUAAAGGCCUACCAAGGCGACGAUCUGUAGCGGGUCUGAGAGGAUGAUCCGCCACACUGGGACUGAGACACGGCCCAGACUCCUACGGGAGGCAGCAGUGGGGAAUAUUGGACAAUGGGGGGAACCCUGAUCCAGCCAUGCCGCGUGUGUGAAGAAGGUCUUCGGAUUGUAAAGCACUUUAAGUUGGGAGGAAGGGCUGUAGGCUAAUAUCCUGCAGUUUUGACGUUACCAACAGAAUAAGCACCGGCUAACUCUGUGCCAGCAGCCGCGGUAAU
rnacentral:rRNA from 1 species